UUAAUUUAAUUAAAGAUAUUGAAUUUACAACGUUGCUAUCCAGCUCCCCACUCUACUUUUAACUUCCACUGUAAAGCCCUAUUGCCCGAACCUUCCAACCGCUGCUCUACCGCCCGCCGCCGCCGCCGAGAACCGUUUUCCUUCUCUAACCCCAACCAAAACUAUCGGGCCGUUGCAAGUUUCUCCGAGAGGAGGAUACUGCUAGAUCAAUCAAUUUACUAUUCCCGGUCAUAGAUUCUUAUAAAUGAGGUCUGCAUAGAUAAGCUUUGAUCUCAGUAAUAAUACUAGCUGAAGUGCUGCCAACUAUGUCAUUCGUCGUGUAUCGAGCCUAUGUUUUAGAAAUUAUUACUGAUAACUGGAACGUCCAAGAGUGGUUUAUGCUCAGAGUUCAUGGAUGGGUGAUACAAGGAAUGCAGAUGAUCGGACCUUGACAUGAUUUUUUUUCCUAAUUAUGUUGUGUUCAUAAUUUUUUAAUUUAAAUGCCCAUUUGUGAGUUGUAUCUCAAGUGUAUUCGUAGAUCGUGCUUGAUGUGGUAAUAAACAACUGUCUAUUCCGUCAAUUAUGAUCUUCAUGGAUAAUAUCAUUUGUA